AUGGAGCAAUUGGAGAAGAGGAUGGAUGCUGCUGAACAAAAAAUCAAAGAGCUGUGUGAAGAUCUUAAUAGGAGAUUUGGCCAGCUGGUUGAGAUGAUAAGAAAGGGUGUCCCCCUGCUACCAAUGAAGGAGAUUCAUCUAAAGAAGAGGAAGAUGUUCAUCAAGGAAGAAGGAGAGGUAAUCUUGGAGCAAGACCGCCACAACAACAUGUUGUUCAACGUGCUUCAAGAAGGACAAUUUAUGUUGAAGCUUUUGAAGGUGAAGAAUAUGAUGAUGCCCUUGAAGAACCAAAUCUCUAUGCAUAUCGGAGAGCACCCGACCCUACAUAUGCAAGAGAUACAUACAAGGUGA
rnacentral:rRNA from 1 species